rnacentral:lncRNA from 1 species
GUUGCUAUUUAACCCUCCCCAUGUUCUGGAGAUUCAUAAACAGGAAGCUCUGAGAUUUAGGUGUGAAUGGUUGACUUCACAUUUGAAGAAAAUCUAUGGUCUUAUUUCUGAACUAAAGGUGACCCUUCCUUUUCUGCAAGCCAGAGGUGAGUUUUAAGAUAAACAUUAUUUUGCUAGUGUAUUUACCAUUCUGGACUAUGUAUUCUAGACUAUUACAAACAUAGUUUCUUAAGAAUUUUAUAGGUUAUAAUUAUGCAUCAACAUGACAAUCUAUAAAUGUCCAUGGAAGAACUUAAACACAUAAAAAUCUCUUAACCACUUAGACAUCCUAUGGUCUCCAUUUAAGGGAAAUUUAAUACAAGGUCUCAUAAUCUAGGUACACCUCAAAUUUCUCUUGUGGAUGAAGAUUACGUCAAUCUCAUCCUUCUGCUUCAAUAUGCUAUGUUCUAGUAUUUCAUAAAUUUCUGUUAUGCUCUACUUCAUCCUAGACAUAUGUCAGCUAUUUAUGCCCAGCAUGUAUGAAGGUGUUUGAUUAAGUAUAAACCAGUUGCACUGGUGCUGCAUUGGUGCAUCUUGGAAAUGGAGGCAAAGAGAUUAAUGGUACAGUUUCAAAUUAUGACUGAAGAAAGAAAUUUUUAAUGAAUGUCGUGAAGUUUUAUGGCCUUAGCUACCAUGACUACCAUCCUGUACUAUUAUAAUAAAGCUGUAAAUCCAAAUAGCUGCAAUUUAAAGGUAAUGUAAUCUUUUGUUUAAAAGAAGAACAUUUUACAGAGACCUUGACUAGAUUUAUGAUGACAUGGGACCUUGUCUGAACACAAUGAUUUCAAAAAUUGAGCUUAGAGUGACUCUGAAAUCUAGUCAAUGUGCCUCACUAUAUUAUAUUGCUUACUGUUCACAAUAGAAUAUUUUCUUAGGUGGGCAUAUUGGUACAUACUUCUAAUAACAGCACAUGGGGUGCUGUGAUGAGGAGAUUGAUAUUUUCCAGGCCCAAUUACUAAAGGAAAGCAAAUAGUCAUAUUUGAAAUGACAACAUUCCAUCCUCAGAAUGGGAAGAUGUAGUGCACAGUUUUCUACUUUAUCUAAUAUCUUUUAUAUAAAUAUUUUGUCUUUUUGCCUUUUAUAUUUGUUGAAAGCAAAAAUGAAAUGUCCUUGGAUCACAAAAGGCAUAGGCACCAGCUGACAUGGAUAACUAUAAAAUGGAAUUUCCAACUCAUGAAAAGAAUCAAAAGCACCUUUCUAUAUUUUAAUAAUUGAAGAUUUCUGCAAGUGAAUUAAUGUAAACUGUACAUGCUUGGAAAUUGUCACGAUACCAUCUAGAAUGAGCAUUUUUAAGCAAACAGAAAACAUGUUCAGGAAGAAUGUUAAAAUUCUAAUACUUGUAAAUAGAAGAUGACAUUUCACUGCCUUUGUGCUUCAUGAGUGCUUUUGAAAUAACCAUCAAAACAAGAAGAAAAUAUUGAAAAGGCAAUUUGUGCCAAUACUUUUGUCAACCUCCUGGGAGUACUGGACUGCCUAUCCAAGUCUAUAUGCCUUUAUGGUUUUUCAAUUUGUGAAGAAUGUAAGAAACUUCAGAGUCUUAUCAGCAAAGUGUAGUACAUUAUCUAACAGAAAAGAGAAGAUAAAGUUUUUGGUGCUCAUGAUGACGUACUAGCCCUAACCUGAGUACAGCUGAUGGAAGUGUAAGAAAAUAUACAUUCCUGAAAACUCGAAGUGGUUAUCAAAUCUUGGUUCUACAGCUGACAUAAUGAUCUGAAAGGUUGCAGAGAGUAAACACUCUUGUGAAUCAUCAUAAUAGAGCUCAGAUAUUUGAAUAGAGACUGGAAUUUUGAUUUGAAGACAAUUUAUAAAUAUUUUCUGAUUGUUAAUUUGGAAUUAACUCAAGAAGUAGAGACACUACUACAUGGAUAAUGAUUGAAUUGACAUUGGCAUCGUCUCAAUGUUUUCAUAAGUAUGAAGUAUAUUUCAUGAUACUUUUAAAGUUAAUUAUAGAGAUUGUUUUCAAUGAUUUUCUAUUUAUUAAAGGGUUUAAGUAAUGCGUAGCAUAUUCUGAUUUGAGUGGUGACAUUAUAGAAAUAUACCAUUUACAGUUAGAACUGUAUGGUGCUUUACUUUUAUAGUGCAUUCCAAACUUGGGGUUUUCUGGUACAUACAGUUUUAGCUUAUUUUUAAAUAAUUCCAUCUUUUUAUCGGUCAAGAUAAUAGCUUCAAAGUUACAUGUCAAAUUUCUUUUACUUUGAAAUGCAUUGGCUAUGUAUACAAGGUCGACAUUUGAUUAAAUGCCUUAGCAUUUACCAGGACUAUCAUUUAUAUAUUUAUGUAUGUAUUUAUGUAUGUAUUUAUGUAUUCACUAUUAAAGUAUUAAAUCAUUACAUUACUCAUUUCAUUGUCUUGUUUGAGUUUCCAUGCUGAGUAUCUACAUUUGUGCAUUUGUAAUCGAGUCUGCAUGUCAUGUAUGUCACAUGAAACAUUAUGUGUUUUAUUAAUAGGUUGUACAUAAAUUAUGCAUUAAAUAUGUGUUCUCUUAUGCCAUAGUUUUGUGUUUUUCUUUUGCAAGCAUCUUUUUGUUCAUAUCAUACUUACCUGUCUUAUCACCCUCGAUUUUAUCAGAUCUUUUUCCGUCUCUUUUUGAUCUUCAU